rnacentral:rRNA from 1 species
CGCUAGCUACAGGCUUAACACAUGCAAGUCGAGGGGCAGCAUGGUCUUAGCUUGCUAAGGCCGAUGGCGACCGGCGCACGGGUGAGUAACACGUAUCCAACCUGCCGUCUACUCUUGGACAGCCUUCUGAAAGGAAGAUUAAUACAAGAUGGCAUCAUGAGUCCACAUGUUCACAUGAUUAAAGGUAUUCCGGUAGACGAUGGGGAUGCGUUCCAUUAGAUAGUAGGCGGGGUAACGGCCCACCUAGUCUUCGAUGGAUAGGGGUUCUGAGAGGAAGGUCCCCCACAUUGGAACUGAGACACGGUCCAAACUCCUACGGGAGGCAGCAGUGAGGAAUAUUGGUCAAUGGGCGAGAGCCUGAACCAGCCAAGUAGCGUGAAGGAUGACUGCCCUAUGGGUUGUAAACUUCUUUUAUAAAGGAAUAAAGUCGGGUAUGCAUACCCGUUUGCAUGUACUUUAUGAAUAAGGAUCGGCUAACUCCGUGCCAGCAGCCGCGGUAAUACGGAGGAUCCGAGCGUUAUCCGGAUUUAUUGGGUUUAAAGGGAGCGUAGAUGGAUGUUUAAGUCAGUUGUGAAAGUUUGCGGCUCAACCGUAAAAUUGCAGUUGAUACUGGAUAUCUUGAGUGCAGUUGAGGCAGGCGGAAUUCGUGGUGUAGCGGUGAAAUGCUUAGAUAUCACGAAGAACUCCGAUUGCGAAGGCAGCCUGCUAAGCUGCAACUGACAUUGAGGCUCGAAAGUGUGGGUAUCAAACAGGAUUAGAUACCCUGGUAGUCCACAUGGUAAACGAUGAAUACUCGCUGUUUGCGAUAUACAGCAAGCGGCCAAGCGAAAGCGUUAAGUAUUCCACCUGGGGAGUACGCCGGCAACGGUGAAACUCAAAGGAAUUGACGGGGGCCCGCACAAGCGGAGGAACAUGUGGUUUAAUUCGAUGAUACGCGAGGAACCUUACCCGGGCUUAAAUUGCAGAUGAAUUACGGUGAAAGCCGUAAGCCGCAAGGCAUCUGUGAAGGUGCUGCAUGGUUGUCGUCAGCUCGUGCCGUGAGGUGUCGGCUUAAGUGCCAUAACGAGCGCAACCCUUGUUGUCAGUUACUAACAGGUUCUGCUGAGGACUCUGACAAGACUGCCAUCGUAAGAUGUGAGGAAGGUGGGGAUGACGUCAAAUCAGCACGGCCCUUACGUCCGGGGCUACACACGUGUUACAAUGGGGGGUACAGAGGGCCGCUACCACGCGAGUGGAUGCCAAUCCCAAAAACCUCUCUCAGUUCGGACUGGAGCCUACAACCCGACUCCACGAAGCUGGAUUCGCUAGUAAUCGCGCAUCAGCCACGGCGCGGUGAAUACGUUCCCGGGCCUUGUACACACCGCCCGUCAAGCCAUGGGAGCCGGGGGUACCUGAAGUGCGUAACCGCGAGGAGCGCCCUAGGGUAAAACUGGUGACUGGGGC